CAUGAGGCGGUAUAUUACAUGACAAAUAUUUUAAUUUCUAACGAGGUUGUAGAAGAUUCCAAACUAUCUAUAGAACAGACAAUAAUAGAUUAGCUGCUGAUACCUUUUGAAAGUUUAUACCAGCAUCUGACUUAUAUUAGCAGAUGGUGGAGAUUAAAUUACAAGACAAUUUAGUGGAUAAUUUAACCUAAAUUAUCUAGCUCCAAACUACAUCACUUGGAAACGCAACAACAAUAUAGUUGCAUCUUGGCUUCUAAAUUCCCUUUCACGGGAAAUGCAAUCCCACUGUUCUUCAUUGCUCCACUGCAGCAGCAAUUUGGAGUGACCUUAAAGAACGUUUAUAACAAAGCAACGAAUCCAAAUUUUAACAGAUCAAGUGAGAACUCAUGGCUAUUCAACAAGGUACUCAAUGUCUGUAGAUAUAAUUCGUGCAAUUCGUGGCCACGUUUUGCUUUGCCGGCUCCCACUUAUUCCUCCUUUCUAGUUCAAAUCUUUGCUCUAUAAAUACUCUUGAGUUAUCAUAAUUUUACUCAAUCCGAUUUCACAAUUCGAAAUCUUUUUUCUCCACUCUUGCUGCUUCUAUUCUUACUCAAAAAAAAAAUUCUUUUUUGUUGUUUCACAGAAAGUGGUUGUUGCCACUUCGAAUUGAUAUUUGUAUAUCAAUAUAGACUGGUUCUUUAACAAUCGAAGGUGUUUUUCUGCCAGUUUUCUACGGUGCAGUAGAGAACGAUAAUUUCAGUGAUUGGCUGUUUUAUCCUGGGGACUUCAAGGGUGCUAGUCUACCUUGCACAAUUUGGGUAGUGCCGUGAAAAGUCUUAAAGAAAGCGUAUCGAACCGCGACUCGGCCAGUAAUUUCUUUGUUGCUUGUUUUUAUAUUCGAAUUUUUCAAAACCGAAAAAUAACAGAUUGUGAUUUGAGGGAGAG
rnacentral:lncRNA from 1 species